CCAUAAAUAAAGGAUAUAAUUAAACUCAAAAGUUUAAACAAUUAAUCUCCCAUUAAAGGGUUACAUCAUCUAAAAUAAAUCCCAGGUCAUCUAACCUUUAUUACAAUCAUUCGCGAAAAAUUAAAACAUGAUUAUAACUAAAUCCAUUACAUAAGCUUCAUAAAUAAAAUAUAAAUUAAACGUUGUCGUCUAAUCAAGCACUUUGUCCUUGCCCUUAUUUGUAUAAAGCUUUUCAAACUUCGU
rnacentral:lncRNA from 1 species